CAGUGUUUAAUACACAGUUGUAUGGCUUUGCUUUUCUCUUUAUCAGCACAUUUUUUUUUAACUUCUUUGCAAAUCCCACCACUUUGUUACUAAUAUGAAAAUAUAGGACUGAAUUCCUAACUGAAAAACAGUAACAUAUACACAAAGCAAACUCAUAGGACACAGUUGUAAGACAUUGCAGUUUAAUGACCCAGGAAAAUGUUUGUGUUCCAAUGUUAUAUAAUGAAACCAUAAGACAAAAUCCUGGGAUCCAUCUGAUUAGCAUUUAUACUCAUUAUUGUAUUUGUGUACAUUCAAGUAAGGUUCUGUGUGUCUGUCCAGCUCAAGAGCUAUCUGGACCCUUAUGUUAGAGCCCCACUAAACAGUGGCCUCCCUCUCAACUUACGCCUACUGACUAGGUCAGAACAUAGAGUAAAACUCCUGGGGAACCUGGGUAGGGAGUCAGGACAAGAAUUACAUGGCCUGGUGCCUCGAUUUGCUCUCCUCCAAGACCUUAAAUGUCAACACUUUAUUUUUCUUUCUCUUUAGGCAUGGAUCCCUGAGUUCUGUCCACAAUACGACAAGAUAAUUUGGUAGCAUAAUAGAAUACUGCAGAUACAAUGCUGAGUGAAGAAGAGUAGAAAUGGGAAGGCUUGGUUGUGUGAAAAGUGAGUUCUUGAAAAACGGAGAUGCUUCAUGAGGGCAUGAAUCCCUGAGAUAUGUCCCAAUACUACAAGACAAUUUGAUGUUAUAAUAAAACACGACAGACAUAAUGCUGCAUGAAGAAGAGUAAAAAUGGGAAGACUUCGUUGUGUGGAAAGUGACUUCUUGAAAAACGGAGAUGCUUCAUGAGGGCAUGGAAAGCUAAGGUCUGUCCACAAUACGACAAGACUAUUUGACAUCAUAAUAAAACACUGCAGAUAUGAUGCUGAGUGAUGAAGAGUAGAAAUGGGAAGAUGGUUGUGCAGAAACUGAGUUCUUGAAAAUAGGAGAUGCUUAAUGAGGGCAUGAAUCCCUAAGGUCUGGCUGGAAUACUACAAGACUGCUUGAUGUCAUAAUAAAACACGAUAUAUAUGAUGCUGAUAAGAGUAGAAAUGGGAAGACUUGGUUGUGCAGAAACCAAGGCGGAGUUGCUUGAUGAGGCCAUGGAUCCCUAAGUUGUGGCCAGAAUACUGCAAGACUACUUGAUAUCAUAAUAAAACACUCUAUAUAUGAUGCUGGGCCAAUCACAAGUUCCCUGCAAGUAUUUUAUUGCCUAAAAUUCAGAUAUUGCAAAUUUUUUAUGAGAAUAUCAAAAGCUCCUCAGGAAUCAGAGGCAUGGAUCCCAAAGGUCUGUUCCCAAUACUACAAGACUAUUUAGUAUCAUAAUAAAGCACUGCAGAUAGGAUGCUGAAAGAAGAAGAGUAGAAAUGGGUAGACUUCAUUGUGCAGAAACUGAGUUCUUAAACAGAGAAGAUGCUUGAUGAGGGCAUGGAAGCCUA